CUGAGCUUGAUUAGAGUUUGAUCAUGGCUCAGAUUGAACGCUGGCGGCAGGCCUAACACAUGCAAGUCGAGUGGAAACGAUGGAAGCUUGCUUCCAGGCGUCGAGCGGCGGACGGGUGAGUAACGCAUGGGAAUCUGCCCGAUAGUGGGGGAUAACCUGGGGAAACCCAGGCUAAUACCGCAUACGUCCUACGGGAGAAAGCAGGGGAUCUUCGGACCUUGCGCUAUCGGAUGAGCCCAUGUCGGAUUAGCUUGUUGGUGAGGUAAUGGCUCACCAAGGCGACGAUCCGUAGCUGGUCUGAGAGGAUGAUCAGCCACAUCGGGACUGAGACACGGCCCGAACUCCUACGGGAGGCAGCAGUGGGGAAUAUUGGACAAUGGGCGAAAGCCUGAUCCAGCCAUGCCGCGUGUGUGAAGAAGGCCCUCGGGUUGUAAAGCACUUUCAGUGGGGAAGAAAGCCUUGGGAUUAAUACUCCCGAGGAAGGACAUCACCCACAGAGAGCCG
rnacentral:rRNA from 1 species